AACCCUUACAAUUUACGCCAAAUGU
rnacentral:sRNA from 1 species